rnacentral:tRNA from 1 species
UCCCUGGUGGUUCAGUGGUUAAGACUCUGUGUUUCCAAUGGAGGGGACUCAGGUUGGAUCCCUGGUCAGGGAA